rnacentral:lncRNA from 1 species
CAGAACAUCUAGGAGGGAAUUGUUUUGAGAGAUUCUAACCGCUUUCAUCAUAUGAAGGAUGGGAAUUGUUCAUGUAGGGGCUUCUGGUAAACUGAAGUUGGACUUGAAAUGUAAAAGGACACCUCAUUUGAUUCUUUAACUUGAUGUGUUCUCAAACACUAAGCGGGACAUGAGAUUGUUUUCGACCAACAGAUUGGAAGAACUCUAAGUAGGCAUUUGAGUUGGGAAUGAAUCAUGUAUUGGGUCAGUUUGGAAAACAUGCUUGUUUGGUUAUUCCGAGCAGUUUUGCAGUGGAUGACAAAGGGUUAAGUGAGCAUGGAUUUAUCAGUUUGUCCAGGUUCUGCUGUUUCCCUUCGUUNNNNNNNNNNNNNNNNNNNNAAGUCGAAUUGACUGAAUGAGAUGAUAUGGGUAGUGAGCCCAAUAUAUAAUUUGUGCUAGAAGUUAUAUGAUAAGCAGCAUAUAUAACUAGUAGAUGAUAGUGUGACACGUGACCAGCGUGUAUGCACGUCAACCAACACCAUAAAAUAUCAAAGAUGUCCGCAAGUUAGUUGAAUUUGUCUACAGAAUCCCCUUGGAUUCAAUGUAAUUUAGAACAUUAUAUAUGAGAAUACAUGUGUCCUUUUCAUAGGAUGAAUCUCAAUCCUAAUUUUCCAAAGAAAUAGGCUUUACAAAAUGAGUGAUUAAUUGGCUUUCAGAAGUAACCAAUGAAGAUUUUGGUUUAGCCAUAAAGUCAUAAUUGACUUGAGAAUAGGGAACGAUUGCACCAACAUGUGCAUCAAAAAUGUCCCAAAGCCGCUUAGGGGAAGCGGCGGCAUUUUUAUACAAGUAGCAAUAUGCCUUUUGAACCAUAUUCUUUUGGUUCUUGCUUCUUCUCACUCAAAAUAAUGGAUGUCCAUGUGAUAUUUUUAUUUUCAAUAUACGGAUCAUCAUACCAUGACCAUGAUAUCUUAAUUUGUCAUGUUAAAACCUAUAUGUGUCAUAAUCCCAAUGUCAUCUCAUAUGACAUUGUUAGAUUCAACAAUUAUAAUAGUGGUUACAACUUAACCCACUAAUGACACAUAAUCUUCUCUAAUACUCGUGUACAUCCGUAGUCAUUAGAGGUAAUGCAAACGAACUCAUGUCCAUUCUCUCUUAUGCGUUUUCACAUGAUAAUUGUUGGCAAUAUAUCUUUUAGUGCUGAUAAGGGUUCGAUUAGCUUUUGGAGCAUAAAAAGCUUCAAUGAUAAUAAUCAUAGUGCCAUAAAGACAAGAAUUUGACCCAUCUAUCGCUCGUUUUUUAUUAGUUGUAAUGAUUCAAUCAUUUGAGUCACAAAGGGAUUAUAAGACAUUAUUCCACAAAUAAUUAUCUGCUUUUAGGUAUUGUGUGGGUAGUCAUACUAUCGACUUUAAAUAUUUGAUCUCUCCAAGUAACAUACUGGCAAAUUAUAGGAGAUUAGUCAACAAAUGUUCAAGACAUACAGUGAGGGUAAAUAUACUCAAAUAAACAAUUUUUUUUCUGUUACGAUGAACAGUACCUUGUUGACUUUUUUUUGGUUCAGCUGACUUUUCGUCAGAGUUGACCUUUUUCGACACAGUUGACUUUUUCGUCAUAGUUGACUUUCACUUUUUUCAAUUCUUUGUCGAAAAUAUUUUGUCACGUACCCUUUUAACUCAUAUUACCACACCAUGUGCAUUUAUGGUGGAAUUAUUUAUUUCUUUCGAACCAUAUAUCAGAAUAAGACAUGAUCACAGCUUUGAAUAUGCCAUUGCAAUAACAAAUUCAAAUAAAGCUCAAAUCUCAUAGAAAUAUAUUCGAGACUUUAUUAAUAUGCCAACGUACACAUCGAGGUUUUGUAAUCAAAAUCUAAUCCAAAUAAUAAAAAUCAUGACCAAACGUCAUUUAUGAAUUGAGGCAUAGAAGUAUGUACAAGUAUUCUUGGAAAAUAAUGUUCUAAUCAAAAUCUGCAACAUCAAUGUGUUCUUUGCCAGAUUUGAAGUAUGUAAUAGUGAGAUUGACGUCAUUGCCAUCUCCAUCUUCUUCUUAGCUGCAUGAUGAGCAUUUGCUCUCUUAUAUAUUUAUAUACUUUAUAUUGUGCAGCUAAUUUAGCACUUGCCUUGCAAUGCUCAAAAUUAAUGCUUAUUAGAUCAAUGUCUAUAGCAUAUAUACCUCAUCUUCAAAUACCAAGCCAUGUCAUGGCAUUAAGGUGGUUCUCGAUGUCAGUCACCCAUUGGUGAUAUUCAANNNNNNNNNNNNNNNNNNNNNNNNNNNNNNNNNNNNNNNNNNNNNNNNNNAUCUUUUUGGUGGUGUCAUGAUAUAGGUCCUCAGAGACGGUCGAUGGACUGAGCAAGAUGCUUCAAUUUUGGUUCCAGGAGACAUAAUCAGCAUUAAGUUGGGAGAUAUAGUGCCUGCUGAUGCUCGCCUUCUUGAGGGUGAUCCUCUCAAGAUUGACCCAACUCGCAUCAAAUUGCUUCUUCAUUUCACCCAACUGGAAUUGGGUUUCCUUCAAUUUUGUGAAUUUCAAAAUCAUGGAUUCACCUUUCUCUGAAUAUCCCAAUUUCAACGAUCAAACCCUUUUACUCGAUAUGUUGAACGAGUACCCAAGUGUUGACCUUUUUGAUGAUCUUAGCUUUUUGGACCCAAACCCCAUGAACUCUGCUCUGUCUUCGAGCUUUAGCCCUGUAGGAGAUGAUGGUGAGUUUUCUAACACUGUGAUCAAGCACAUAAAUCAGGUGCUUAUGGAGGAGGACAUGGAGCCAACACCAUGUCUGUUCCCUGAUCCUUUGGUUCUUCAAGCCACUGAGGAGUCUCUUUAUGAGAUUAUUGGAGCAGGGAAGUGUUCAACUUCCCUAGACCAAAACCCUCUUUGGGUUGAUCAAAAUGAGUAUGGAAAUGGAAAUGAGAUGGUGGGUUCUUAUAGGAGUGAGCUUAUGGUUCGUGAUGCGGUUAGUAAGAACAAAUUGUUGGUCCAGGGGCAGAGGAUGGUAGUAAGUUUCUUCUUAGAGGUGAGUUGAUUACAGCGGAGGGCAACAAGCCGUAUACUGUGGCGAAUAGCAAGGCAGGAAAUGUGGUUGUUAGGACCCAGAAGAAUGGAAGUGAGCAUGUCCGUGUUGGUUCAAGAGGAAAUAAUAGUCAUCUGAGGGAGGAGGUAGAGUUGGAGGAUGGGAGGAAUGACAAGCAAUCUGUGGUUUAUGUGGAUGAUGAGGAGGGUGAGCUGUCUGAUAGUUUUGGCAAGGCGUUGCUCGGCGGUAAGGCUGUUGAAAGUAAAGAGGAUCAAGUCUGUCAAAAUGGAGCUAACAAUGGCCUGCAGCAGGAUGUGCUAGUCAGUCAGAAGGCUUGUGGCAUGAAACGAGGCAACAAGAAGGAAGUGAUAGAUUUGAGGGGUCUUCUGAUUUCAUGUGCAGAAGCUGUUGCUGUUGAUGAUCGAGGGACUGCUAGUGAGCUACUAAAGCAAAUUAGGCAGCACUCUUCCCCAUUUGGUGAUUAUACUCAGAGGUUGUCUCAUUGCUUUGCAAAUGCUCUUGAAGCGUGGUUGGCUGGCACUGGAAGUGAACUAUAUACUACUUUGGCUACUAAACGAGCGUCGGCUGUAUUAGGAAAGUAAUCUCUUGUAUCUUAUUGUAUCUUGGUUAUCUUGUUGUUUAGGAAAGUAUCAAUUGUAUUAUGGUUGUAUUACGUGAUUAUAGUUGUUUCCUUGUAGGUAAGGAAACCCUCAUGUAUAUGUAUUCUAUCGAUUAUCAAUGAAUUCUAUUCUAGCCAAACUAUCUCUCUUUUAUGGUAUCAGAGCAGGAAUCAAUCUGAUCCUGUCUCUUUGUUUUGCACUCUAUUUCUCGUGCAAUCAUCAUCUUGUUAUCAUUCAACAUGAGCAACAAUAUUAUCCUUCGAAAAGGCAAUCAGCCUAACAUCUUCUUGAAUUCCAAGAAUCAGCUUGGUAUCAUCAAUGGCACCAUCAGGUUCUAUUCUUCAAAUCCCAAGAAUAAUCUUGGCAUGUCUAAAGUAUCAUCUCAGCGCUGGNNNNNNNNNNNNNNNNNNNNNNNNNNNNNNNNNNNNNNNNNNNNNNNNNNUGCCAUGAGAUGGCCAAGUUCAUAUCCAGAACAUCUAGGAGGGAAAUUGUUUUGAGAGAUUCUAACCGCUUUCAUCAUAUGAAGGAUGGGAAUUGUUCAUGUAGGGGCUUCUGGUAAACUGAUGUUGGACUUGAAAUGUAAAAGGACACCUCAUUUGAUUCUUUAACUUGAUGUGUUCUCAAACACUAAGCGGGACAUGAGAUUGUUUUCGACCAACAGAUUGGAAGAACUCUAAAUAGGCAUUUGAGUUGGGAAUGAAUCAUGUAUUGGGUCAGUUUGGAA